UUAAUUUAGUCAUGAAUUAUAUAUAAAUCAUUUGUUUUUAUUUUUUUAUAGCACAAUUACAAAAUAUUAUUAGAGAUAUGGAGAUCCAGUGGGGACGGUUAGAUGCCGGAAUUGAUAUCAAUCGUCAACGUCGAUCAGUUCAGCGUCAUCAUGACAUCCGCAUUCAGCAUCUUCAAGCAUCUUUAAGAUCUGGAAGAAUUCCUACACGCUGCAGUGAAUCGGGAUCUUCAUGAUUCAAUAUUUUUAAUUUUAAAUGAUAAUCAACGUGAACAGCUACCAAAUAUUGGCAAUAUUGAACAUUUAAACCUCAUUUUGCAGGAUCAUUAAGAAUCUCUCUAUUAUGUGUUAUUUUGUAUUCCAUUUGAUAUUUAU